AAUAAUGGUUCCCAAUCUCCACUUAUUUCUAAUCCUUGAUCCUUCCAUUUCUAAUACUUGUCUCAACUCCCCUUCUUCCUAGCUCUCAUCUCAAUUGCCUUCAUUCUUAGCCUCUAUUCCCUCCAUUUUCAACUCUCAUCUCAACCUACUUUGUUCUCAAUCCUUGCUCCUUCCAUUCCUAGCUCUCAUACUUGAUCCCUCCAUUCCCAACUCUUACUCCUUCUAUUUCCAACUCU
rnacentral:lncRNA from 1 species